rnacentral:ncRNA from 1 species
ACUACGCCUGAUGGGUAGUUUGACUGGGGCGGUCGCCUCCUAAAGGGUAACGGAGGCGCCCAAAGGUUCCCUCAUCCUGGUUGGUAAUCAGGUGGUGAGUGUAAGUGCACAAGGGGGCUUGACUGUGAGACUGACGGGUCGAGCAGGGACGAAAGUCGGGACUAGUGAUCUGACGGUGGCUUGUGGA